CUUACUAGAACUGGUUUUGCUUUUCAUUGUUACUUCCAAAGGUAUCUGAAGUUAAUCUCAAUCACCAUGUUACUUCUGCUUGAUCAGUUUAUUUAUAAAUUUGGAGAGAGCAACUGAAGCUGAGAUUUUGGAUAAAUUCGGAAACAGAGAGGUGUUUUGUAUCACUGUCCUCCAGAAACAGAGCUCAGGUGAAGUCAACACCCUUUGAUGUCACGGCAAUGCUAUGACCAGGACCUGCAAGUGCUUGUGAUUUCUCCCGCCUGCAACCAAACUCACCAGCUAGCAAGAAGUUUAAAACCAGCUUCCACGAGCCUCCACAUCUCCUUUUGAUAUCUUGGCGUUCUUCAUCUCCCAUACAUUUAAAGAUUACUCUCUUUUGGCAAAUGUGGAGAGCUGCAUCUCCUGUGAUUAUUGUUGUGUGUCCUCUUUACAUUUUCUUAACUAUUAAGUGUGGAUGUUAGACUUUAAAUACAUUUUUAAUAAAAAAAAAUUAGACACCAACA